GAUUGGUCUGAGUGCAUUGGUGCUUACAAAUAAUUGAUCACAACCAGUUAGAGAUUCCUUUGUUCCUUCUCCACUCCCACUGCUUCACUUGACCAACCUUUA
rnacentral:Y_RNA from 1 species